rnacentral:rRNA from 1 species
AGCCUCGAGAUGGGUUCUGAGACAUUAACCCAGGCCCUACGGGGCGCAGCAGGCACGAAACCUUCACAAUGCACGCAAGUGUGAUGAGGGAAUCCUAAGUGUCACGCUUUUUGCGUNACUUUUCUAGAGUAUAAAUAGCUCUAGGAAUAAGUGGUGGGUAAGACGGUUGCCAGCCGCCACGGUAAUAACCGCGCCACAAGUGGUGACCACGUAUAUUGGGUCUAAAGCAUCCGUAGCCGGUUUGCUAAGUCCUUUGUGAAAUCUUGUAGAAAACUACAAGGAGUGCAGAGGAUACUAGUAGCUUGGGAUCGGAAGGGGCUAGAGGUACCUCUGGGGUAGGGGUGAAAUCCUAUAAUCCCUGAGGGACCGCCUGUGGCGAAGGCGUCUAGCUNGAACGGAUCCGACGGUAGGGAUGAAAGCCAGGGGGGCGAAGGGGAUUUAAUACCCCCGUAGUCCUGGCUGUAAACAUGCCCGUUAGGUAUUGGGGUUCUUUCAUGGAACUCCAGUGCC